AACGAACGCUGGCGGCGUGCCUAACACAUGCAAGUCGAGCGAGAAAAGGGAGCAAUCCCCGAGUAAAGCGGCGCACGGGUGAGUAACACGUAGGUAACCUACCCUCGAGCCUGGGGAUAACCUACCGAAAAGGUGGGCUAAUACCGGAUAUGACCACGGGAGUUUCGGCUCCUGCGGUGAAAGGUGGCCUCUGCUUGCAAGCUACCACUCUUGGCUGGGCCUGCGCGCCAUUAGCUAGUUGGCGGGUAAAGCCCACCAAGGCGAUGAUGGCUAGCUGGUCUGAGAGGAUGGCCAGCCACACUGGGACUGAAACACGGCCCAGACUCCUACGGGAGGCAGCAGUGGGGGAUCUUGCGCAAUGGGCGAAAGCCUGACGCAGCGACGCCGCGUGGGUGAUGAAGGCCUUCGGGUCGUAAAGCCCUGUCGAGGGGGACGAAACGGUCCCGACCUAACACGUCGGGGCCCUGACGGUACCCCCUAAAGGAAGCACCGGCUAACUCCGUG
rnacentral:rRNA from 1 species